CUUUUUGAUUUAAAUAUAAAGUAUAACCUGCCCAUUGAAAUUUUAAAAGGCUGCGGUAUAUUGACCGUACAAAGGUAGCAUAAUCAUUAGUUUUUUAAUUGGAAACUYGUAUGAAUGGUUGAAUGAGGAAUAAACUUUUUUAAUAGAAAAAUUGAAUUUUACAUUUUAAUUAAAAGGUUAAAAUAUAUUUAAAAGACGAGAAGACCCUAUAGAGUUUUAUAAUUUAUAUUUAAUGUUAAAAAAAAUUAAUAAAUAUUUUUAUUUAAAUAAUUAUUUUGUUGGGGUGAUGAUAAAAUUUAAUUAACUUUUAUUUUUUUUUACAUUAAUAAAUGAAUAAUUGAUCCACUAAUAGUGAUUAAAAAAUUAAAUUACCUUAGGGAUAACAGCGUAAUUUUUUUUUUAAGUUCAUAUUAAUAAAAAAUUUUGCGACCUCGAUGUUGGAUUAAGAUUUAAUUUUAGGUGCAGAAGUUUAAAAUUUAAGUCUGUUCGACUUUUAAAUUCUU
rnacentral:rRNA from 1 species